UCCCUGGUGGCUCAGAGGGUAAAGCGUUUGCCAGCAAUGCAGGAGACCCGGGUUUGAUCCCUGGCUUGGGAA
rnacentral:tRNA from 1 species